CGUCAAUUAAUUUUCGCUCUCUUAACUCUCUUCACCUUUUCGUCUUUUCUGCAUUUUCUUUUCAAAGCUCCAUUUUUAUUUUUUCUCUUCUUCAAAGAUCGAAUUUCGUUCAUCUUUCAAUUAAGAUUUGGAUAUACAAAUCAAUUCCCCCAGCUCGGUAGGAGAAGUGAAAAAUCAAGAGAAGACUCGCUGUCCAUUUCUCAGUUGUUCAGAUAGCACAUCUCAAAAGGUGAUAAACUGAUCGAAAGUGAUCCAUAUGUAAAUGAAUGGAGCACAAAGAAAGUGCACCCGUACCUCAUUCUAAUGGUACAUGAAAUGAAGCAGCAAUACAUGAUGAAAUUUAGAGCAUGCACUGACGAGACAAAUGACUCAUUCAACGAUGACUUGAAGGACAAUUUGUAUGGUGUGACUGUGAUCACUUCAUCAGUGGAUGGUGAGGAUUAGAUACGAUAACCAUAAUUUGAAUGAAAAUAUUGUGUCAAGACAUGUCAUUCACUGUGCGAGGUCAAGUAGAUGAAGAACAGUGAAUAAGAGAUCGAUGAUUAAAAAUUUAAAAGAACACAUAUUUAGAUGGGAGGAGAUAAUGAAUGAUAUGAUUGAUUUCGUCAAAGAAGAGAGAUUAAGGAGAACAAAAAAGGAGAAAAAGAAGAACAAGAUGUGUAGCUUCCUAGUGAGCAUUCAGCAGUGAAGGCUAUUCGCAAUGACUGCAGCAUUAAAGAAUGUUCCUUAAGGCAAUCUCGAGAACAGACCUCUGUCAAUACUGAUGAAUUGAUGAUCCUUGAUAAAUCAACCGAUGUGGUUAUAAAUCAAGCAGUAGAAAGCAUAAUGAGGAAGAAUACAAGAAAAAAAGAAAAAAGAAAAAAAAAAGAGAAAGUAAGAACAAAAUAAAGAAGAAGAUAUAGUGAAAAUGAGAGAAGUUAAAGAAACUAAUGCUGUAGAGGAAAAAGAGAAGAAAGAAGAAAACAAUGCAGAGUUGGGGAAGAAGAGAAUGAAAAAGAACAAAAGAAGGCGUAAUCAAUGAAAGAACAAAAAGAAGUAGAAAUGAAGGUACCAACAAAGGAAAAUGAGAAGGAAGAAGAAAAAAGACACCAACAGAGAAAUACGAGAAAGCAGAAAGAAGAAAGAAGAAAGAAGAAAAAAAUAAAAUAAUAGUGGAAGAAGAAGAAGGAAUGCAGGCACCAGUAAAGGGAGAAGAGAAAGAAGAAGAAAAAAAAACAACCGUGAAAGAAGAAGAAGAAGAAGAAAAUACGUCAAGCGAGUGACUAUGGAUCAUGUUCUUAAGGACGUUGUUGAUGAAAUCAGCAACUUCAUUAUCGGAAAGAGGACAACUGAGGAAUUAGAAAAUAAUUUAUAAUUUUUAUUUGGGUGUAAUAUGUUUAUUUGAUUGGCCUUUGAGACAAUAAUUUUUUCAUUUGUUGUUCUAUUAUGAGGUUUGAGUUGAGACAACAAAGUUUUUAUUAGAAAA